rnacentral:rRNA from 1 species
UACGUAGGGUGCGAGCGUUAAUCGGAAUUACUGGGCGUAAAGCGUGCGCAGGCGGUUUGUAAGCCAGAUGUGAAAUCCCCGGGCUUAACCUGGGAAUGGCAUUUGGGACUGCAAGGCUCGAGUGCGGCAGAGGAGACUGGAAUUCCUGGUGUAGCAGUGAAAUGCGUAGAUAUCGAGAGGAACACCAGUGGCGAAGGCGAGUCUCUGGACAUUUCCUGACGCUGAGGCACGAAAGCCAGGGGAGCAAACGGG